rnacentral:piRNA from 1 species
UGAUGAUUUUUUAAAAUGUGUAUGGGUGUU